GUUUGNNGCANUACAANGCGAUGUUCAGUGGCGCAAGGGUGCGUAACACGUGGGCAAUCUGCCCGGGAGCGCGGGAUAGCUUGGCGAAAGCCAAAUUAAUACCGCAUGUGGCUAUUGAGGGAUUCCUCGAAAUGCUAAAGAUGGCGCAAGCUAUCACUCCUGGAUGAGCCCGCGGCCUAUCAGCUAGUUGGUGAGGUAACGGCUCACCAAGGCUAUGACGGGUAGCUGGUCUGAGAGGACGACCAGCCACACUGGAACUGAGACACGGUCCAGACACCUACGGGUGGCAGCAGUCGAGAAUUUUUCUCAAUGGGGGAAACCCUGAAGGAGCGACGCCGCGUGGAGGAUGAAGGUUUUCGGAUUGUAAACUCCUGUCAUUUGGGAACAAACCUUUCAUUUAACUGAUGAAAGACUGAUAGUACCAGAAGAGGAAGAGACGGCUAACUCUGUGCCAGCAGCCGCGGUAAUACAGAGGUCUCAACCGUUGUUCGGAUUCAUUGGGGCGUAAAGGGUGCGUANGCGGUCGCGCAAGUCGGAUGUGAAAUCUCGGGGCUCANCCCGAAACUGCAUUCGAUACUGCGUGGCUAGAGUGCUGGANGGGAGACUGGAAUUUACG
rnacentral:rRNA from 1 species